UUCCGGGUUCCCUCCUAGGCUGCCUUGCGCGGCCGCAGCCUGGAGCCCUCACCACCCUUCUGCGCGCUCUCCGCGAGACGGACGCCUCCUUCUGUCGUCUGCUCAAAUGUCGCUGCAAAGCCCAAGCUGUGCAGUUCAAGCACUGUCACGCCGCGCCACUUGAGUCCUGACAGCACUGGGCGUACAGAAAUCAUCUUGGUCUGGCCUGUCAGCGUCUCCCAGCUUCAUGGGAACUGGAUCCUGCUCUGUCUUGCUCCGCAUGAAGACUGAGGCCCCAAAAGAUUCCAGUUUUGGACACUUCAUGACUAGAGCAAGCGACAAGACUGGAGUCAUCAGUAAGGCCUCUUGAAUACAAGUCUGAUACGCUUUCUGUUGUCCCAAAGAUCAAGGCCAAUAGAAUGUGUGAGUUCUCAACCACUUAGGCACACAAAACCACUGCCUUUUGGCUAAG